rnacentral:misc_RNA from 1 species
CGCCCGUAAUUUUUUAGUAGUUUAAACAUCAAACCUUCCAAUUUAAACCACCCAAACAAAACAACAAAAAGAAAUUUCCAACCACCGAAAACAUGAAGAGAAAUCCCAAUCUUACCUCAUUAAAUUACUGUGCAAUGAAUUGAACUUGAGACCAGAAAUUAAUUGGAGUUCUGAGAAAUAACCUCCAAUAUUAAUGGCUUUGCAUUUUCUUCCCACUCAGUAGCCCAUCUUGAGGAACCCAUUUCCAGUGCACCGUUUCUUAGAGACUUCAACGCAUUACAUUCAUCUGGAAAACCCUUAAAAAGCAUCAUUAGUUCGUCAGCUAGCUCUGAAGAUGAUGAAAAGAGGAGACCAUUUUUAUCAACUGUCACUAGCUCCUUGAUGCAAGAGUAGGAAACAGCACAAACAGGCAGUCCACAACCAAACAUGUCAACAACCUUCAUGGGAAGGUCCAGCCCUGAAGAUGAAGUAUGUAAGCACACACCCAGAUCUGCUGAUCCUAGAAGCAACGGAUAAUCCUCAGCUGACAACCACAUGGUCCGAAAUGCCACACGCUUGAGGUGUAGCUUCCUUAUUUUUUCUUCAUAUGUUUCUUUUUCAGGCCCUUUACCUGUAAUGACAAAUAACAACCUAGGAUAUAAGUAUUGCUUCCCAUCAGAUAAUUCCUUCCAUAGAACCUCUUCAAGAGUAGAAUCAUUUUCAUUUAGGAUUGCAGCAACACGUCUAUCAUACAUAACUGCAGCUUCCAGAAGCAUGCCAAAAUCCUCAUCUGGAGUCCAGCUUGUACUGCUAACAACAAGUGCUGGCCUAUUUGGCUUCAAGAAAAUAUCACCAUCAGCCAUGGUAGUAAACAGAGUCUCAGUUAAAUCACAGUUCCUCAUUCCUAUGGAUCCAUAGCUGGCGCAAUCACGAAUACCAUAAGGCUGACUGAUAACUUUAUCCAAUCUGCAAAACAACUUAUGCUUUUCCUCAAGUGAAGCAGGAUGGAAAAACUCAGGAGGCUGAUCAUAUAGAACUAUGGCUUUAAU